UGAUCAUGGCUCAGAACGAACGCUGGCGGCAGGCUUAACACAUGCAAGUCGAGCGCCCCGCAAGGGGAGCGGCAGACGGGUGAGUAACGCGUGGGAAUCUACCUAGCUCUACGGAAUAACCCAGGGAAACUUGGACUAAUACCGUAUACGUCCUUCGGGAGAAAGAUUUAUCGGAGUUGGAUGAGCCCGCGUUGGAUUAGCUAGUUGGUGGGGUAAUGGCCUACCAAGGCGACGAUCCAUAGCUGGUCUGAGAGGAUGAUCAGCCACACUGGGACUGAGACACGGCCCAGAUUCCUACGGGAGGCAGCAGUGGGGAAUAUUGGACAAUGGGCGAAAGCCUGAUCCAGCCAUGCCGCGUGAGUGAUGAAGGCCCUAGGGUUGUAAAGCUCUUUCAACGGUGAAGAUAAUGNCGGUAACCGUAGAAGAAGCCCUCG
rnacentral:rRNA from 1 species